GUUUUAUUUAAAUUUAAAUUCAAAAAUUUUUAAAUCUUAAAAUAAUUUCAAUAUUACUGAACAAAACUAGAAGUCGCUCCCCUACAUCGGUUUUCCAUUAAUACUAUUUCUGAAGUAGAAAGGUUGAUGGAAUUGGCUUAUCUGAUUAUGUGGUUGAAAGCAUUCAUUAUUAUAAUAAGCUGAAUUAAUUUCGAUAUUCUCAAUGGAUAUGGACAUUGACAAUUUUGAAGCACUGAUCUGCAAAUUUCGAUGUAUUGUUUGGUAGCUGAUUGCAUCACAUUUGUUCCGAAUUAAAGAAUCUUUACUAAAAAGAGACGUCAAACCUCUGAUCCUACGAACAUCACCAAUGGUGUGGCGUUUGAAAAGUCCUCACCACGGCCAAGUCAAGUUUUGG
rnacentral:misc_RNA from 1 species